rnacentral:rRNA from 1 species
UGAGGAAUAUUGGUCAAUGGGCGGGAGCCUGAACCAGCCAAGUCGCGUGAAGGAAGAAGGAUCUAUGGUUCGUAAACUUCUUUUGCAGGGGAAUAAAGUGCAGGACGUGUCUUGUUUUGUAUGUACCCUGAGAAUAAGGAUCGGCUAACUCCGUGCCAGCAGCCGCGGUAAUACGGAGGAUCCGAGCGUUAUCCGGAUUUAUUGGGUUUAAAGGGUGCGUAGGUGGUUUGAUAAGUCAGCGGUGAAAGUUUGCAGCUUAACUGUAAAAAUGCCGUUGAAACUGUCGGACUUGAGUGUAAAUGAGGUAGGCGGAAUGCGUGGUGUAGCGGUGAAAUGCAUAGAUAUCACGCAGAACUCCGAUUGCGAAGGCAGCUUACUAAGCUACAACUGACACUGAAGCACGAAAGCGUGGGGAUCAAACA